GGCCAGCAUGGUGUAAUGGUUUGAGCAUUAGACUGUGACUCUGAAGACCAGGAUUUGAAUCCUUGCUUGGUCA